GCUUUGACACAGCAAGAAGCUGAUCUAACACUGCAUCACCUAAUCUCACUGCUAAUUAGAAACACUUGAAAUUGAUUCUUUCUGAGGGCCAGCAACAGCUGGUAUGGUGCAUUCAAAUUGGCAGAAGCUGCUCUGAUGUACUUACUGCUGCAACUGAGUGCUGUCAACCCCCCACGUUAAAAUGAGUCUUUAGGUGUUAGUUCUUUCUGAACUUGUGCAGUAUUGUGCUGUUUUAGGGUAGCCUCUGAGUGUUGCUGGGAGGAGUGAAAAAAGAGUUGGGGCAAAUUGUCAGACUGCCCUUCGUACAACAGUGCCUUGAAGAAAAACAAAGAAAAAAAUACUUUUUCAUUCCCUCCACCCUCCUUCAGUGUUUGUUCUGCCUGUGCUGUGUUACUGCAUAAUCUUGCCUACUGCUGGCAAUUUGGAGGGGAAAAAUGACAUCCAGCUGUCGUGUUUGAAUUUCUUUUUUACCAAUAUUUCAUCCAAGAAGCUGUAUUAGGAAAAAAAAAAAAAGAGUUACAAAUGCGAUAAGUCUGAUGAUAAGUGCUAAAAUUAACAUUUGCCACAUUUCUUAGUUUAUUACCUGUGUGUUAUGAUACAGGUUUUCAUUGCAUCAUUCUGUGCCAUGUGUUCCAUAUGAUGCUUGCUUUGCUUAGUGCUAAGGAGGGGUGAUUUCUGUUGAAUGAUCAGCUUCAACAGUUUAACUGUGCAGCUUCAGACCACGUUCAAAUGUGUUCUGUUUAAUACUACACCCAAGCCUCAAAUGUUAAUUUCCUCACAGCCUUCUCUGUGGUUCUUGGAACUAUAAUCAAUAUUGAAUUCAUUGUCAUACCUUUCUGGAGAUGAAUAUAAUUCCUUGUUUUACUAAGGCAGAGCUGAAGCCCGGUUAAGCAAAUAUCAAAGAUAUCCAGUUGUUUUGGAUUUCCAUUUUGGGGUCAUGAGAAUACUAAGUUUAUUUGGAAUACUUUACAUGUGUUUUAGAUAACAACAUAUUAUUACCACAGAGAGAAAACACGGAUGAGCUGAAAAGCAGUAAAUUGUCCAUCCCUUACAGGCCCAUCAGAACUGCUUUUCUAUACGUAGUCCCAUUCUGUUGGAACCCUUCCAUCCACUGUCCUAGUCACCUGAAUACUAUUUUCCUUGGCUGCCAUAGUCAAACCAUACCAAGAUCUGGUGUUCAGAUCUUCCUUCUGCUCAGUCUCCUCUAAUUCAACAUCCCAGGAUAUGUCUGAAGUAA